rnacentral:rRNA from 1 species
GACGAACGCUGGCGGCGUGCUUAACACAUGCAAGUCGAGCGGUAAGGCCCUUUCGGGGGUACACGAGCGGCGAACGGGUGAGUAACACGUGGGUGACCUGCCCUCAGCUCUGGGAUAAGCCCGGGAAACUGGGUCUAAUACUGGAUAUGACUCCAUGACGCAUGUUGUGGGGUGGAAAGCCUUGUGCGGCUGGGGAUGGGCCCGCGGCCUAUCAGCUUGUUGGUGGGGUGAUGGCCUACCAAGGCGACGACGGGUAGCCGGCCUGAGAGGGCGACCGGCCACACUGGGACUGAGACACGGCCCAGACUCCUACGGGAGGCAGCAGUGGGGAAUCUUGCGCAAUGGGCGAAAGCCUGACGCAGCGACGCCGCGUGAGGGAUGACGGCCUGGUUGUAAC